GAAGUUUUUCAGAUGCAGUACUGGAUCUUUCUGAACUUCUGGAUCAGCUCAUAAUAUCCAGUAAGAAGUAAUAUGCUGUGUAGUGAAGAACUGACUUUACCCAGAGAGGAGUCUGGUCGUUGCCCUUGGCCACAGGGAGGAUAUCUCUAGGAUCAUGGAAGGUUAUGCUUGAUAGGAAUGUCUUGGUUUGAGGGAAACUUUGUCCACUGCAGUCUAACAAUGUGAUGUAUGAUGGACACAUUGUGACACAUCAUAUAAAUCCCCACCUGCCAAGAACCUGAAGACUCAAGCCAUUAGCCGGAACCCCCAGGCUCAGCCACACAAGCAGUAUGCAACCAAAUCCGAAUAAACUGUGGACACCAAA